GAUGAAGAACGCAGCGAAAUGCGAUAAGUAAUGUGAAUUGCAGAAUUCAGUGAAUCAUCGAAUCUUUGAACGCACAUUGCGCCCCCUGGUAUUCCGGGGGGCAUGCCUGUUCGAGCGUCAUUUCACCACUCAAGCCUCGCUUGGUAUUGGGCAACGCGGUCCGCCGCGUGCCUCAAAUCGUCCGGCUGGGUCUUCUGUCCCCUAAGCGUUGUGGAAACUAUUCGCUAAAGGGUGUUCGGGAGGCUACGCCGUAAAACACCCCCAUUUCUAAGGUUGACCUCGGAUCAGGUAGGGAUACCCGCUGAACUUAAGCAUAUCAAUAAGCGGAGGA
rnacentral:misc_RNA from 1 species